rnacentral:rRNA from 1 species
UACGGGGGGGGCAAGCGUUGUUCGGAAUUACUGGGCGUAAAGGGCGCGUAGGCGGCAAUUCAAGUCAUCUGUGAAAUCUCCGGGCUUAACUCGGAACGGUCAGAUGAUACUGCUUUGCUAGAGUGCAGAAGGGGCAAUCGGAAUUCUCGGUGUAGCGGUGAAAUGCGUAGAUAUCGAGAGGAACACCAGAGGUGAAGACGGGUUGCUGGGCUGACACUGACGCUGAGGCGCGAAAGCCAGGGGAGCAAACGGG